rnacentral:rRNA from 1 species
CCUACGGGUGGCAGCAGUGGGGAAUAUUGGGCAAUGGGCGCAAGCCUGACCCAGCAACGCCGCGUGAAGGAAGAAGGCUUUCGGGUUGUAAACUUCUUUUCUCAGGGACGAAGAAAGUGACGGUACCUGAGGGAUAAGCCACGGCUAACUACGUGCCAGCAGCCGCGGUAAUACGUAGGUGGCAAGCGUUAUCCGGAUUUAUUGGGUGUAAAGGGCGUGUAGGCGGGAGCGCAAGUCAGAUGUGAAAACUCAGGGCUCAACCCUGAGCCUGCAUUUGAAACUGUGUUUCUUGAGUGCUGGAGAGGCAAUCGGAAUUCCGUGUGUAGCGGUGAAAUGCGUAGAUAUACGGAGGAACACCAGUGGCGAAGGCGGAUUGCUGGACAGUAACUGACGCUGAGGCGCGAAAGCGUGGGGAGCAAACAGGAUUAGAUACCCUUGUAGUC